ensembl:lncRNA
AUGUAAGCCUAAAUCUAACCCAUUCUUAAAGCAUGUGGUUGUUAAUAGAUAAAAGGGACUGCAGGGGUUGCUGCUGAUAAAAAGUGGUUGAUCGUUUUAGGUUAAAUCAUGUUAAACAGUGACUGUUUCAUCCAUCAGCUGUAGAAAGCUGCUUCACGGGCCUGGAAUCCAACCACCGGUUUAACACAACAGAGGAGUGAGUUAUGAAAAAUCUGUAAUGUGACAGAAGCAGUUAAACAAACUGAUGUGAGACUAUGCUAUCGCAGGUGUCAUCCAAUCCAGCACUCCAUUGUCAGUAACCGUGUAUCCCGGGAUGUGUAAUUGCACCCACAACACUUGAAUCCUGCUGUGCCAUUCACUGCAAAAUUAGCUUUAAUAAGAGCCUCAGCUAGAUUGCUUCAGUAGUAAAUAUUAAAACACCUGCGGUGUGAAAACCAAGCAGAUUUGUGAAUACCUGAGGUCUCACGGAUGCUUGUUGUUUGUCUGUGAAAUAAAUCCCAUUGCCAGAGUGUAUUAGCUGUUUUUACUGAGGCCUCUUCCAAGUCUGCCAUUGGGCUGAGAAAUUAGAUAUUGAUUUUUUUUUUUUUUUUUUUUGAGGACCAUGCAGAAAGUGAGAGAGCACAUCAAAACAGGCAUUUCAAAAAAAAUGUUUAUGGGGUGUUGGAGCCUGAUACCCACGUUGUCUUAAAAGUGUAUCGACUUCUCCCUCAUUGCCGUGGAUGCAUUCGUGUUGGAAACGUUCAUGAUCAAUUCCUUUCUGUCUGGUAAUCAAAUUUUUAGCUUGCUUCUUUUUUUCAUGACAGAGAAGCUUUCUUUCAAACUGACUUCAGGCACCUUUGAAAUGUUCCCCAUUAUUUACUAUUUGUUCCAAUAGCAUGUCUACAAAUCCAAAAAGACAUAAGAACUGCUUUUUGAGGGAGGAUAUGAAGCACUAUUGUUGGACCUAGAGCUAAAUAUAAGCCAGAAAAAUUCUCUAGAGGGAAUGAGCCAUAGCUACAGAUCAACUGGAAUCUUCUCUACUGUCUUUGAGCUAUCCUCCAAUUAGAUCAGUGUAUCAUGUCCUGGCAUGGCCCAUCACUCUGUGCUGGCAGCUCCGUGACUCUUAGAGACCUUGUGAAAUUUAUCAGUACUGUCAGUCCCAGCCAGCUACAAGGUUUCCCUUCAGUCUUUUCACCAAGUCUGAGAUGGUUUCUGUCCCCAGUGGCCACAAGGGAAAGAGAAUUCAUCAGCAAUUCCUUCUGCGGGUUUCUGAUACCUAACAGAGGAACAUGUGGCUCGGAUAAAUCUCUCAGAACCUCCAACAAGUCACUCAGAGGACUGAAACCCCAGGGGUGGGUUUGUGAUAAUGAUGUCUGCCUUACUCUUCCUGUGUCGAGGAAGAGGAUCAAAUUUUAUUCAAAUUGUUCGUAAGUUAUAUAAAAUGAAGAGCUGCUUGGUGAAUAUUAAAAAAAAAUUCAGUUGCAAUGUCCUUCAGUGGAGCAGCAGGUAAAUGACGAUAAAAUCCAGUGUUGGGGAAAAAUGUCUCUUUUUUUUUUUUUUUUACCAACAUUGGACCUACAAAACUGAAAAUAUCAAUCAGAAAAAUAUCUAAUAGAAAGAUAUCUGUCACUGUGCAGCGUAUUUCUUUGUGAACAGUGGAAAAAGUUGAUCUUGACAUUGUAAGCCUUGCUGCAAAACUCACACACUGCACUGUUUUAAAUAGUUUUAUAUAAUAUGUUAAAGUUGAGCUCCAUCUCCCGACCUAAGCACACUGAGAUUUAAAUCAGCUGAUAUUUUCAGGUGACUGAAAUACCAGAAAAUACUAGUAAGUCAUAGCAACUGACCAAGAGACAGGGGUGUAAUUUCGAGGAGGGUUAGGGGGGUUAUGACCCCCCCCCCCCCCCCUUCAAUAAUGAGAUCCAACCAAUAUAACUCCCCAAUAAAAUUAUGAAUUAUCUUGCAUAAAUAGGCUGUUGAUUUUCUUUACUCAUUUCAGGUAUUACCAGCAAAAUAGUUGCAUGUUUAUGUUUAAUCAUCUGGGAAUUUACCCAGAUUUAUUUAUUUAUUUAGACAGAGACCUUGAUCCCCCAAAUGUUCAGCACAAAAUUACGCAGAUGCCAACAGUCAGAGAGGAGUGUCCGGAAUGCAUGGAACUGAUAGGAAGGCAACAGUAAUUAAAGAAACAAAAAAACACUCUUUGCAACUGAGGAAAAAAGCAUCAAAACAUUGAAGCAGAUGGCCUGCACUAGCAGAAGACCACACUGGGUACCACUACUGGUACUGAGGCUUCAGUUUGCA